AUUGAACGCUGGCGGCAUGCCUUACACAUGCAAGUCGAACGGUAACGGGCCUUCGGGUGCCGACGAGUGGCGAACGGGUGAGUAAUGCAUCGGAACGUACCUUUCAGUGGGGGAUAACGUAGCGAAAGUUACGCUAAUACCGCAUAUUCUGUGAGCAGGAAAGCAGGGGAUCGCAAGACCUUGCGCUGAUUGAGCGGCCGAUGUCAGAUUAGCUAGCUGGUGAGGUAAAGGCUCACCAAGGCGACGAUCUGUAGCGGGUCUGAGAGGAUGAUCCGCCACACUGGAACUGAGACACGGUCCAGACUCCUACGGGAGGCAGCAGUGGGGAAUUUUGGACAAUGGGGGCAACCCUGAUCCAGCCAUGCCGCGUGAGUGAAGAAGGCCUUCGGGUUGUAAAGCUCUUUCGGCCGGGAAGAAAUCGUAUGGGCUAAUACCCUGUGCGGAUGACGGUACCGGCAUAGGAAGCACCGGCUAACUACGUGCCAGCAGCCGCGGUAAAAC
rnacentral:rRNA from 1 species